rnacentral:rRNA from 1 species
AACGAACGCUGGCGGCAUGCCUAACACAUGCAAGUCGAACGAAGGCUUCGGCCUUAGUGGCGCACGGGUGCGUAACGCGUGGGAAUCUGCCCCUCGGUUCGGAAUAACAGUUAGAAAUGACUGCUAAUACCGGAUGAUGACUUCGGUCCAAAGAUUUAUCGCCGAGGGAUGAGCCCGCGUAAGAUUAGGUAGUUGGUGGGGUAAAGGCCUACCAAGCCGACGAUCUUUAGCUGGUCUGAGAGGAUGAUCAGCCACACUGGGACUGAGACACGGCCCAGACUCCUACGGGAGGCAGCAGUGGGGAAUAUUGGACAAUGGGCGAAAGCCUGAUCCAGCAAUGCCGCGUGAGUGAUGAAGGCCUUAGGGUUGUAAAGCUCUUUUACCAGGGAUGAUAAUGACAGUACCUGGAGAAUAAGCUCCGGCUAACUCCGUGCCAGCCGCCGCGGUAAUAC